AAGGAAUAUUGCUCAAUGGGAGAAAUCCUGAAGCAGCAACGCCGCGUGAGGGAUGAAGGGCUUUUGCUCGUAAACCUCUGUAGUGAGGGAAAAAAUUUCCAUUCUAUGGAAUAUGAUGGUACCUCAAAAGUAAGCCCCGGCUAACUACGUGCCAGCAGCCGCGGUAAUACGUAGGGGGCAAACGUUGUCCGGAUUUACUGGGUGUAAAGGGUGCUCAGGCGGUUUUGUAAGUCAGAAGUGAAAUCCUAGGGCUUAACUCUGGAACUGCUUUUGAUACUGCAAGGCUUGAAUGUGGAAGAGGAGGAUGGAAUUUCUGGUGUAGCAGUGAAAUGCGUAGAUAUCAGAAAGAACACCAGUGGCGAAGGCGGUCCUCUGGUCCACUAUUGACGCUAAAGCACGAAAGCGUGGGGAGCAAAC
rnacentral:rRNA from 1 species